UGGGGAGUCGUCUAAGGGUAGGACAUGCGGCUCUGGACCGUAGGGUAGAGGUUCGAAUCCUCUCUCCCCAGCCA
rnacentral:tRNA from 1 species